rnacentral:rRNA from 1 species
GACGAACGCUGGCGGCGUGCCUAAUACAUGCAAGUAGAACGCAGUUUCGAACGGGUGAGUAACGUGUAGGUAAAUGCCUCAUAGCGGGGGAUAACUAUUGGAAACGAUAGCUAAUACCGCAUCCUGUGAGCUGGAUCUGCGUUGUAUUAGCUAGUUGGUGAGGUAAAGGCUCACCAAGGCCACUAUGCAUAGACGAGCUGAGAGGAUGAUCAGCCACACUGGGACUGAGACACGUCCCAGACUCAUACGGGAGGCAGCAGUGGGGAAUAUUCGUCAAUGGACGAAAGUCUGACCGAGCAACGCCGCGUGAGUGAAGAAGGUUUUCGGAUCGUAAAGCACUGUUGUUAGAGAAGCGGUAUCUAACCAGAAAGCCCCGGCUAACUCCGUGCCAGCCGCCGCGGUAAUUC